UACGUAGGUGACAAGCGUUGUCCGGAUUUACUGGGCGUAAAGAGCGCGCAGGCGGUCGUUCAAGUCGAGUGUGAAAGCCCCCGGCUCAACUGGGGAGGGUCAUUCGAUACUGAUCGACUCGAAGGCAGGAGAGGGAAGUGGAAUUCCCGGUGUAGUGGUGAAAUGCGUAGAUAUCGGGAGGAACACCAGUGGCGAAGGCGACUUCCUGGCCUGUUCUUGACGCUGAGGCGCGAAAGCUAGG
rnacentral:rRNA from 1 species